GUUUGUAAGUGGACGACUGCCUGUCCGUCAGCUGACGGAUGGGAGGAAAGUCCGAGCACCUUAAAUUAACCCGGAUAGUUUCUAACAGAAACCGUCCAUCCCCAGUUUUUCGGAACUGGAGAUGGAUAGGGAAAGUGCCACAGAGACAAUACUACCCAUCUCCAGUUUUGGACAUCUAUAAUGAGGUUAUGCACUGGGUUUAUAUGCUAUACAACCCAUCUACCGGAAAGUAUUAUACCGGUGAGACCAACAACCUCAAGCGCAGGUUGUCCGAGCAUCGCAGGGGCAAUAAUCAAUCCACCAAGCAUAAAUAUGCUGAUUGACGGCUGGUUUAUGCCGAACUACAUGUAGAUCAAAAUGAUGCUCGGAUUCGCGAAACCAAGCUGAAAUCCCACGGAUCGGGAAUCGUGGAGAUACGCAAGAGAAUAAAAAAUUCUCUUGAGGUUGUGUCCAAAACUGGGGAUGGGGAAAGGUGAAAAGUUGCGGGGUAAAGCCUAAGUGUCGCAGAAAAUCAGGUUUAAAUCUGAUAGUUUGUGUCCGUAUGCUACCCGCGAGGCCUCCGCGUGAGCGAAGUGUCCCGGUAAACCCUAUUCGGUGCAAGUUGGGGUGGGCCUGAUGUCAGCUACUAACGCCGAGGGUUAAGGCGGGCUGACCGGGAUCCCAACGCUUGAGCCUUAUGGCAACAUAAGGCCUAGAUAGAUAGUCGUCCCCAUCCCCAGUUCCAGGAACUGGAGAUGGGACAGAACUCGGCUUAUAGCUUGCAGACAGCC
rnacentral:RNase_P_RNA from 3 species